UACGUAGGGUGCGAGCGUUAAUCGGAAUUACUGGGCGUAAAGGGUGCGCAGGCGGCUCCGCAUGGUCGGGCGUGAAAUCCCCGGGCUUAACCUGGGAACUGCAUUUGUGACUGGCGGGCUAGAGUGAUGGCAGAGGGGGGGUAGAAUUCCACGUGUAGCAGUGAAAUGCGUAGAGAUGUGGAGGAAUACCGAUGGCGAAGGCAGCCCCUGGGCCAAUACUGACGCUCAUGCACGAAAGCGUGGGGAGCAAACAGG
rnacentral:rRNA from 1 species